GAGAACUGGGAGCAGUCAUGUGUGGCCACUGCACGGGGUGCAAGGAGGGAGUGGUGGGAGAUGGGACGGAAAGGUAUCGUGGGGUCAGAGCCGGAAGGGCCUGCAGAGGCCCAGUGAGGAGCCUGUGCUGGAUUCGGUUCCACAGGAAGGUGACUUCACUGGGGAGGCCGGAGCCGGCCCUGCUUCUUCUCAGCCCCCUCUGAGUGCAGACCCGGGAGAAGGGCAGGGGGCAGAAACUGGCAGAGGAGUCAUCGCCUGGCUUGUUUCUUCACCAGGAAACAAGGUUUCCUGUAACUCAGACCGUGAAUCAGCAUUUCCUCUGUCAAUAAUACACAGAGAGAAAUGCAACAGCACAGGGCUUGGGGGGGAAUGGAAGACAGGAAGGAAUAUUCCAUGACACGCUGGGCUCUGCUCUCCUUUCCCCCUCCCCGCGAAACACUCCUGAUAAGUUCCCAAACGACACUCGGGCUUCCUACGAGACGUCUUGCAGACAGCUUCACGGUAUCACAUAAGGAUGAAGGCCCCCCACGUGCCCAGCUCUCUUGCCAUAGUUUGUGUUUCUGUCACCACGGGGAUAAGCAAGGGCGCUGCCUGCAUUCUCUCGCGUUAGAACUAGACAUUCGUAUGACGGUGUUUCAUCCUUGCAGAAGGUUGGAGGGUGGGUUUGAUUGGCCUUUUAAUUUUCACAUACCCCUGUCCAGUAUCUUAUUUGAUUCUCAUAAUAACCCUGUGAGGUACACGAGGAAUAUUAUACCUAUUUCACAAGUACAGAUACCAGGGCAGGGACACGGAAUGAUUCUUCCCGGCAGAUCUGUUUUGAAGGAGCCGGAACGGAUCCCAGCCCUUCAAACCCCAGUCCAGGGUUAUUUUUAAGGUCAUAGACUUAAAACAAAUAAAGUUUGUGAUAAUAUAUAUUGUGUAGAUAGACAGACAUGCAUACAUGCAGUGUAUUUAUUUAAGAUAUAAAUAUAUCCUUGGGGCACCUGGGUGGCUCAGUCGGUUAGGCGUCCGACUUCAGCUCAGGUCAUGAUCUCAUGGUUCGUGAGUUCGAACCCCGCGUCGGGCUCUGUGCUGACAGCUCAGAGCCUGGAGCCUACUUUGGAAUCUGUGUCUCCCUCUCUCUCUGCCUCUCCCCUGCUCACACACUCUCUCUCUCUCAAAAAUAAAAAAUAAAUAAACAUUUUAAAAAGGCUUAAAAAUAAAAUAAAAUAAUUAAUUCAUACUAUUUGAUAUAAGUAAUACAAUAUAUUUAUUUAAAAUAUGCUUAAUAAUUACCAAGCUAACUAACAAUACAUUUAAUUUAAAAUAUUAGCCAUAAAUCGCAUAUGUACUUACAUUCUACCUAACACCUGAAAGAAUUUUAUUUACUCCCUCAUUCCACUCAUUCAUUUACCAAAUAUUUAUUGAUACUGUGUACUGUGCCAGGCUAUGUUCUGGAUGCAGUAGUGAACAAAACAAACAAAACACCCUGCUUUCAUAAAGCUGGCAAUCUAAUUGAGGAAGUCAGACAGCGAAUGAGGUAAAAGUCAAAUACAGUGUUGACGAGUCAUAUAUGCUUUGAAGAAUGAAGAGACCAGAGAAGAGGGCUACAAGUGUUGGAAGUAUGCGUGGUACAGUUUUACGCGAGACGUCCUGUGACAAUCUCCCUGAAAAUGUGACGCGUAGGGGAAGACCAGCAGAGGAGACACUGACAUAGAUCAGAAUAGGACAAGUCUCCAAGCCAACUGGACACAAGGUGGAGAAGUCCCUCGCCAUUCUCAUCAAGAGACGUGUAAAAUUGGUGUUAACUCUGUUGAAGGAUUCGUCAGUGAAACCAUCUGAGACUGGGGAUUUCCUUUUUGAGAGCUUUUAAAAUUGAGAAACUUGGACAUGGAGGGAGACACACAUACAGACAGAAUGCCAUGUCAAGAUGAGAGCAGAGAUCAGGAAGAUACUUUUUCAAGCCAAGGAAUGCCAAGACUGCCAGCAAGUACCCAGAGGCUAGGAGAGAGGCACGGAACAAAUUCUCCCUCACAGCCUCACAAGGAACACUCUGAUCUCAGACUUGCACCCUUCGGAGCCAUGAGGAAAUAAGUUUUUGUCGUGUGAGCCUCCCAGUUUAUGAUACCUUGUUACAACAACCCGAGGAAACGAAGACACUCCUCUUCCCCAACAGCCAGUAUGCAGGAGACCCAGCACCAGAAGGAUCCGGAGCGAAAAGUCAGGAAAAUGUUAGAACUACCUGAGAGGCUCAGACACCAUCUUUGAUCAUUUUAUUCCAAAUAAACACAGCACCAGCAGAGAGGGUCUGCAUGUCCAACUUCUCAGGGACAAACUUUUUGCCACUGUAGAGAAAGUUAACUGCUAAAACUACAUAAAAUCGAUUGUCCAUGUGGUCAUGCAUAGGUCAUGCUCCAGUUUGUUCUAUGAUGGAGUAAAGAAAAUAUGUGUCCUUCCAGGCAAAAUAUAAAAGUAAAGACAAUCUAUGGCAAAAAAAUAAGGCUAUAGAUUCACAAGGGUACCUUCGCUGAUGUCUUCCUAGGGACAAAGGCAGACACUCCGUUUUGCGGCCAAAAUGGGCCGGGUGAGUAUGUACCUCUGACCUAUGAACAGCAAAUGAAAGUGGCAAAAGCAGAAGCAUAGAGGAGUUUAUGCGAGUCUCCCAUGCCUUCCUCCUCCACUGCCACAGAGGCCCCGGACGUCACUUACAGAAGGAAGGGAGGCACAAAAUUAAAGUAGACCGGAUCCUUAAGCCUCUGAUUGGAAGGGAGCCGCCUCGGAAAACCAUCCAACCCUCAGUGAAGCUUCUGCAAGAAAUAAAUAGUUGCCUAUGAGAUUUGGGGGGGGGGGGGAUAAUCGAACCUGGCACUAUGGCCUGACUCAGACGAUGAUGA